AUGGCUAACAUCAAGUGGAACACACCAAUGCCCAUUAAGUAUUCGGUGCAGUUCCUUGGGCAUGACAUGAUGACUACAAACCCUCUUGAUGUUAAUCCAUGGCCACCUCCUUGGUCAGAUGGAGUGAUUAGAGGCCGAGACUUAAGGCCUUCGCCAUGGCCGGGAUUAAAUUUUUGUGGGACGGUGGAACACUUGAUGCCACCAUGGCCACCCCCAACUCAGCCAAUGCCUCUAACGUAUCCAUCAAAAUUUGGCCUUGUGUUUACAAUAGAUGGAGUACACAUUGAUUGGAAUCUUGUUGUUGCAGUGCAUAAGAUAUUUUGGAGUGUGAUGAUCAAAUCAGUGAGACAUGUACCAAGCAUCAGUAGUGAGCUGGAUGACAUCCAAGGGAAAUCCACUAGGAUAUUUAUUGUUGUUAAAAUUCCUGAAGGAUGUAAUCCAAAGAAAUCAAGCUCUGCGACAACAGAAACACAAGUAUCACAUUUAUUCAACUCAUUCUCAGAACUAUUAGAUGUGCACUUGACCACUACUGAAAUGAGCCAAGAAGUUCGUUGUUGGCAGGGAGCUCUUGAGUUGCAAGUCAGUGUGAUCUUCUGGUUACUGGCAAGGAACAUCCAUCCUCCUAAAAUUGAAGUACAAGUACUGGAGUUUUUAUUGAGGGUGCUCAUUGGCAGUUUAAGUGAAAAAUACUCUGGUAAUACUAUUGAUCUUGAGGUGAACAAGCUCAAGACAUGGAUAUCUGAAAUGAUUGGAAGAACUGAUCGUGUUGAUGCUAAGUUCACAAUUGUUUGUCAGCUAUCAAGAUCACUUCAAUCUGGGACACAUAUUCUUGACCUUUAUUCUGCAGAGGAGCACAUUUUUGACAAUUUCCUUAAUGCUAUCAUGUGGUGUUCAGUUCCUAUCAAGAAUCUACAUAAACAGUGGGACCCUGGUGGCUCUGGUGAUACUUUGCAUCGGCUUGGGGACAAGCCGAAAUUUAAGGAGAGGAGAUUGUUAGGAACCCAAAUGGGCUGUCAACCACUUUCAAAGCAAGGCUGAAACAAGCAAA
rnacentral:lncRNA from 1 species